UACGUAGGGUGCGAGCGUUAAUCGGAAUUACUGGGCGUAAAGCGUGCGUAGGUGGUUCGUUAAGUCUGUCGUGAAAGCCCCGGGCUCAACCUGGGAAUGGCGAUGGAUACUGGCGAGCUAGAGUGCGGUAGAGGAGAGUGGAAUUCCCGGUGUAGCAGUGAAAUUCGUAGAUAUCGGGAGGAACACCAGUGGCGAAGGCGGCGACCUGGACGGACACUGACGCUGAGACGCGAAAGCGUGGGGAGCAAACAGG
rnacentral:rRNA from 1 species